UAACAUGUCUCUGAGCUCAGAGGACCAGUCCUCUUCCUCCUUCUUCCUCGGUGCCUCCCUCCAAUUCUGGAGAAAACAAGUGGACUAUUCAUGUAAAAAGAGAAAGAGUAAGGAGGGGGGAGAUGCCACCGACAAACUCCAUUGAAAGCCACUGGCUGUUCAUUUACAUUCACACUUUUAAAAAAUGUUAACUAAUGAUGUUAAAUGGUUUGCCAAAGGUCCUGGCAGGUCAGUUGUAGAAGUGUCAUUUCUGCCUAAUUAGGGCUCUUGUGGCUGCCCGGGGCCUCCCAGUGCAACUGGUGACAAGCGAGAGCUGACAGCUUCAAUUGGUGCCAAUAGGAAGGUUGGGCCGGUCAUGUUUUCCAACUCAGCCAGGUGUUUGCUGAAUGGGGGAGGGGGCUUGGCGAGAUCUGAGCACUUCUAUGAUCCUUUUUCUUUCAUGACCCCCUCCCAAGUCCUUCCCCUUUGCCUGUCUUGUCUUGUGUCAAGGUCAAGAAUGGGCUUUGCUAAAUCAGCAAUUUGGGUUAUCUCUGGGAGGUCAUUAGCAGUCCCAGCCCAGACUGUUUCAAGUGGUCUCAGACCCCAGAUGCUAGAUUUUUUUUUUCUCCCUAAAAAUCAGAGCAGGAAAAGAAAAGGAAUGCUUUGGGUAAUAACAGCAGCAAGAAAAAACAAAACAAAAAUCUACACAGAAAGCUCUUGGUACCCAUUAAAGUGUUAAACUUCUGAAGACGUCGCAAAUAAUAAAACUGCUUAAAGGGAAAACUGAAGUAUUCUGAUCUCUACCUUAAAUAUCUGAAGAAAGAAAAGAUGACAAUGAAAAAAACAUCCUAGAAGGUUUGCUGGAUUGGACAGUACCCGUCUCAUAGUAGGUGCUCACUAAAUAGUUUCUUGUUUGAUUUGAUUUUUCAGGAGAAAAAUGAUGCCUGAGAGACAAAUAAUGAUUGUUAGAGAUGAGGUUCUCCUGGUAACUUCUAAUAAAUACUGUGAAGUGCUCUUUGGAUUUCUUACUUGACCAUAAAGUACCUGCAGAGGUGAAGUCUCACAUUAUGGGCUGAUAUGCUCUUGCUUUCUGUUUUGUUUUGAUAACAUCAUAAAACGAGCAUAAUGUCACCCCCAGGCUGCAGCAACUACAACACAAGGAGAUGGUCCCAUGACGGUGAUGGGACACCUGUGUCCAGCUCUCGGACUCGAUGCUUCGGCGGGUUCUGCGGGGAUGAUGGCUCUCCUUUGCUGAGUCUGAGCAAAUUCACGUGUACAUUCAGUGGGUCUGUGAACCACGAUGACAGGAUUCACACAAGGGCGUCUGGGGAGGGAUGCUGCGUUAAAAUUAAAGGAAAGCAUGAAAUGGAAAAGUCAAUGUUUGUUUUGUGAAAAUCUAAGCCCAAAUCCAGAGGCAGUCCUGGGAAGGAGGGGAGGUCUAACAUGAAGGCA
rnacentral:lncRNA from 1 species